UUUACUACACAACUUUGAGUGAUUCGUGUGGUGGUUUGGGUUUUUUGUUUCCAGUUCUCAAGGUCUUCUGUGUGUUUCUCUGUUGGCCCUGCCUCUGUGUCUCCUGUGUUUUCCCCUCCUCCUGCCUGCUACUGCCAGCUGACUGCGGACACCUGGUCAUCAUUCCAUAUCACGUUCUCCCGCCACGCACACCUGCCUGCCAUCUACAAUCUACAAUCAAGCUCAGUACUUCAACCCCGGCUCCACUCACUAGCUUCGCUGGAUCAUUGUCUCUACCACUCUGCCAUCGUCUCCAUGCCUCGCUCUCAUCCCCAGUCAACUGGCUUCACCACUCGGUUCUUUCCCCACGGCUCUCCACUUCAUCCUACCUUCGCUCCCGCUUCCAGCCUUCCCUCAUCUAGAUUCUCCCUGUUCCCCGGACUUCUGUGUCUCCUCCUCAGUUUCCUCGGCCCCGGUUUCCCCGCGCUCCCCUAGCUCCCUCGCCACCCUAUCACGAGUAAGCUCCCUCGCCAUCCUAUCCUCUGUCUUCCCUCUCCAUCCUAGCUUCUGCUCCUGUGUCCUUCGUCCUCCUAAGCUUUGCUCUGGAAUCCCCCUCGCCAUCCUAUCCCAGUGAGUCCCUCAUCAUUCUGUUUUCGGCCCUCGUCAUCCUUCCCUAGCCCUCGUGUCUCCCCUCCUGUUUUUUGGCAUACACCUCCCCACACCUCCACCUUUGUUAAAAUAAACCUGAUUUUGUUGAACUUUG